rnacentral:lncRNA from 1 species
UCGUAACGUGAGGGAGUUCUUUGUUGGGACAUCGCCAAAACAGUUUGUCACAUCAUGAUGUAAUGACCUGAAAUUUACGGGCACCGGAAAAGUGAGUUAUAGGGCCUCCGUCUUAGUGAAAUAAGUUCGAAAAUAAUUAUUAAAAAUAUUUAUGAGCCUAGUGGUGUGUCUAAUUAGGAUCUAGUUAAGUGAAUUUAGCUUAAUUUAGAGUAAGUAAUAAAAAGGAUUAAAUUGAAUAAAGGGUAAAAGUUUAAUUAUAAAGAAAUAGAAAAUAAAAAGGAUUACAAUGGCAAUUAAGCCAUUGACUACAAAUGAGGUGGCAUAUUGGUGAAAUAAAAUCAAAGAUUUUUUUUAGGUUUUAUAUAUUAUAAUGAUUAUUAUUAUGGUUUUAUAUUAAAUUGUUAUGAUUAUUUAAUUGAUAAUAUAUUAUAAAUAAAUUAAAUAGAAGACAAUUGUAUGGUAAUAAAAUAUAUAUGUGUAAGAAUUGUAUGGGUACAUUUGUAAUUUAAAUAUUUAAUUACUUAUAAUUUAAGUAUAAAUAUAUUUUAUAAUCAUUAAUUGUAUUAAUUAAAUCAUGAGAUUUUUAUUUAAUAAGCAAAUUAGAUAAUGACAUUUGUAAUAAUAUAAAUAUGUACACUUGUUAUAUAAUUAUUAAUUUACUUAAUAUAAAAGUAAAAGAUAUUUUAAUAUUAUAUUAUGUUAAUAAAAUAAUAAAGUAUAAAAGAAUUAAAGAAAUAAAGAAACAAAAGCAAAUAGAAACAGAAUUGAAAACGGGAAGCAGGCGAGAAAAAGAGAAAGAAAAAGGGCAAGAAAAAUAAAAGAGAAAACUGAUGAUUUGAAGCUUGGAGUUAAUUUGAUAAGUCAAUUAAGUCCUUUUUAGUUAAUUUUGAUGUUUUAGGAGCUUUGAAACAAGAUUUUGAUGAAAUUAAGUUGAUAGUUCAAGAGUUCAUAUGUUUCCAAGUAGGGUUCAUGUUGGAAAAUUUAUGGAAUUAGGGAUUUAAUUGAAUGAAUUCUAAGUUAGAAUUGAUUAAGGGAUUAAAUUGUAAACUAGGCUAUAAGUUUUAUGUUGUAGGGACUAAAUUGAAGAAAUUUCGAAAUUAGGGAAAUAUGCUGGAAAUUUUAUAGUUAAAUAUAAGUUUAGACAAAAUUUGAAUAGAAAAAGAGAGUGAAUUGGAUUAAGAAAAUAAUUAAGUUUAGUUAGGAUUAAAUUGGGAAUAAGGUAGGAGUUGUUUAGAAAUUUAAUUAUUUAUUAUAAUUAAUUCUUUAAAUAAUAAUGUAAAUUACUAUUAUUUUCGUAGCCAACAAAGAACCGGAAGCAUCAGCAUCGAAAGGAAAGGAGAAAGUCAUCGAGGACUAAAACGGGAGAAUUACGGUGUGUAUUACUAUAAUUCAAAUUUUAAUUAUUAUUGAUUGCUGAAAUUUUAAUUGUUAUGUAUGGUAAAUAAGACUUGAGGUAAGUAUGUGAAAUCGAUAUGAAUAUUGAGUGAAAAUGAAAGUGAUAUAAAUUGAAUCAAAUUGAAUUGAAUAAGUGAAUUAUGGAAUAUGUGAUUAUUUGAAAAGUGUAUUGAUUGAAAAUAAAUAAAUUGUGACAAAUGUAUGGUGUUGAUGGUAUACACUUGUGUGAAAAUUAAUUUGUAUAUGAAUUAAGAUAAUAGAUAUUUGAAUUGAAUGAGUAUUGAAAAUUUUUGUGUAAAUGAAAUUGAAAUUAGAAAAAAAAAUACCCUAUUAACUUGUCGGACUAGAUUCGAUACAAAUGGCAUGCCAUUGGAUUUGUGAUGUGAUGAAGAGAUUGUAGUUCGGCGGAGAGGAUGUUUCUGUUAUUAUAUACUUCGGUUUAUCCGAAUAGGCAUUUAAUGCCUUAUUGGUGUGUUUGGGAGGACAUAUUAUACCGGUGUGUUAUGGAGGAUUUACAAUAUUCCGGGUGUGUUUGGGUUGGACAUUCUGGUGUGUUUGGAUGGAAUCCGCGUAUCUGUCAUAGUCCGAGCUUUGUUAAUAGGGUAAAUAAUUGAAAUGAAAUUUUGAAAAUGAGAUUAUUUGUUUUAACACUAUUGAAAAGUACGAGAAAGAAUGUAUGAACUAAAUUUUGAAUUGAGUUAGUAUGAAAAAAAAUGAAUUAUGAAUUUAAGAUUUAUGAAGUAAAAUUUUUGUAUAUAAAAGUAGUUUAAAUAAUUAUAAAAUUUAUGGUUGAUGUUUGUAAUUUAUUAAUGUUAAAUAGUCUUGAUUUAUAGUAAUACCACUGAGUAUAUCCAUACUCAGCGUACGGUUGUUUCCGUGCGCAGGUUAGUAAAAGUCAAGUGUCCCGGCUCAGCAUCCAGAACAAUCCCGACUCCAACACAAACUUGGUAAUGUAUAUUUUUCUUUUGGGUAAAUGUGGCAUGUACAUAGGUGUUAUUUAGUCACUUGAAUAUGUAUAUUGUUUUGAGUAGUGAAGGAUGAAUUAUAAGAUUUAGAUGGUUAAAUGAAAUGGUAAGGAAAGUACAUGAUAUUUUGAUACAUGAACAUUAAGUUGUUAAAUGAAUGAAGUUUAUAAUCAAUUUUGAAUGAUGCUAUGAUAGUUAUUAAGUUAAAAUUAUGUUAAUGAUAUAAAUAUUAGUUAUAUGAAUGUGAAAUAUUGGUGUUGGUUGUUUUGGUUUGAAUUUGCAGGAGGUUUAGGUAAAAAUAAGCAGAAAUGCUGCCGAAAUUUUUAUAAAAAAAAAAAUUAGAAUACUCAAACAAGUCCCGUUCUACUUUUAAUACGUGUUUGAACUUCGAGAGUUCAAGAUAGGGACUUAAUUAUUAUAUUAUACUAUGAAAGUUAUAUUAAUUGUAAAUUAUUCGUAAGUUGUCUGUGUAACACCCCCACGCCCGAAACCGUCACCGGAGUCAAGCUUGAGGUGUUACUAAACUUAUCUUACCUUUUAAACAACUCUAAACCACUUAUUUUAAUUUUUGGAAUAAACUGUUUUUCUGCGUCAUGGUUGCUUAAAAAUUCAUUUCUCGAGUUUCAAAACUCAAAAUUAAGAUCCGUAAAUUUUUCCUGAAACUAGACUCAUAUAUCUAUCUACUAAAUUUUUCUAGAAUUUUUGACUUGGCCAAUUAGUACAGUUUAUUAGUUAAAGUUUCCCCUGUUUCAAAACUCAACUACACUGACCUCUUCUUACUACGAGCCAUGUUUCUUCCUGUAAAAAAAUUCAUAUGACUAAGCCGUUUGUUUCUCUCAAAACUAGAUUCAACAAGGAUUCUAACCAUAUAAAUUAAACCUUCUAAUUAGUUUUGUACAAUUUAUGGUGAAUUUCCAAAGUUGAAAUAGGGGAUCCAGAAAUCGCUCUGACCCUGUUUCACUAAAACUCAGAUAUCUCAUAAAAUAUAAUACCUUUACCUGUUUUGCUUAUUCCAUAAGAAAAUAUACAUAAUAAGCUUUAAUUUCAUAUAUUAUUAAUCUUCAAACUAUGUUUCUACAAUUUUUAGUGAUUUUUCAAAGUUACGUCAUUUCUAUUACUUGAAUCUGUUUUUAGGUUACUUUCACAUUUUUCAUAAUUUUCAUGUGAUAAUCAUCAAUCAAUCAUACAUAUUAAUAAAUAUGUAUAUCAUCGGCUAUUUUAUUAGCUAAUCACUAGCAAGUAUUUACACAUCAUUCAUUGUUCAUAUUAUACCAAAAGUAGCUAAGUUUCUAUACAUGCCAUACCCAAAACAAAACGUCUAGUUAUACCGAGUUAUUUCUUUGAUAGUGUGAUCGGCUUCCGACGUUUCCUUCAAUCCCCGAGUGACUAGAUAAGUACUAUAAGAAGAAGAAAAUAAAGAGAUUAAGCACUAGGCUUAGUAAGCUUACAAGCAAAUAAAUCACAACAUUCAACAUAAUGGCUAAUUAUGCAUAAUAUCAUCUAACAUCAUAAAUUUCUUUACUUCUCAAUUUCUAUCUUCUUCUUUAUUCCCUUACCUCCUUUCUUACCUGACCUUUCCUUUUUCAUAAGUAUAAUCUACUUUUCCUUUGCUGUUAAUUCACUGUAAUUUAACUCGUAUCCUGACCUGUUGAACCACUCGGAAUACUAAGGAUACUAGGGUCGUUCCUGUUUAUCAAUAUCCUGCCAAUGCCAUGUCUUUGACAUGGACUUAUAUGAAUUAUUCCUGUCUCCAAUGCCAUAUAUAAUAUGGACUUACAUGGCUCAAUCUUGUCUCCAAAGCCAUAUUUCUAAUAUGGACUUACAUGGCUCAUUUCUGUUCUGUCCUGUCAACCCUAAUAUCCUAACAUUCCUAGGGUUCAACCGGGGCUUUCUAACACUUUUCCUCUGUCACUCCACCUUAAAUUCGACUUUACAUAUUUUCAUAACGUAAGUAUAUAAAUGCUGGAAAUUGACAAUAAUAAUGUAAAAUAAAAGAAUAUUGCAUUUAUUUACUGUAACUUACCUUGAUACAAAAUGUGACUAAACUUUACAAUUUAGUCCUUUACUUUUUCUUUUCCCCGAUCUACUCCCGAAUUUCGUUCUUCUUGAUCUAUAAUAGCAAAUUUAACUUAUUUAAUAUUCACAUUUAUUAAAACAGUCCUUGACCCAAACUUUUGUAAAAAUUAUAUUUUUACCCCUAAACUUUCACAUAUUUUCACUUUUGCCCCAAGGCUCGUAAAUUAAACUUCAUCCUAUUUUCUUAUGUUUUAUGACAUGCUGAUCAUUUUUCCCUUCAAUGGCAAUAUCAAAAUCACACUUUAACAUAUACUUAUGACUAUUGGUAUUUUUUUCCAAUUUAAGCCCUUUUACUCGUUUUCACUUAAAACCGAGUAGCAUAAGUUGUUUAACAUAAUUUAAAACCUCAUAUUCUAUCAUAAAACACAAAAAUACACAAAUUUCAGCCAUGGGUAUUUUUCCAAAUAUGAACCCUAGGUUGAAUUAUUGCUAGAAUAAGCUUAAUCAAGUUACCGGGACUCUAAAAACGUAAAGAUCAUUAAAAACGGGGCUUGGAAUCACUUACUAUGAAGCUUGAAAGUUGAAGAAACCCCAGCUAUGGAGGAGAGCAAAAAUCAGCAGAAAC